rnacentral:rRNA from 1 species
UGGGGAAUUUUGGACAAUGGGCGAAAGCCUGAUCCAGCAAUGCCGCGUGUGUGAAGAAGGCCUUCGGGUUGUAAAGCACUUUUGUCCGGAAAGAAAUCCUUGGCUCUAAUACAGUCGGGGGAUGACGGUACCGGAAGAAUAAGCACCGGCUAACUACGUGCCAGCAGCCGCGGUAAUACGUAGGGUGCAAGCGUUAAUCGGAAUUACUGGGCGUAAAGCGUGCGCAGGCGGUUUGCUAAGACCGAUGUGAAAUCCCCGGGCUCAACCUGGGAACUGCAUUGGUGACUGGCAGGCUAGAGUAUGGCAGAGGGGGGUAGAAUUCCACGUGUAGCAGUGAAAUGCGUAGAGAUGUGGAGGAAUACCGAUGGCGAAGGCAGCCCCCUGGGCCAAUACUGACGCUCAUGCACGAAAGCGUGGGGGAGCAAACAGGAUUAGAUACCCUGGGUAGUCCACGCCCUAAACGAUGUCAACUAGUUGUUGGGGAUUCAUUUCCUUAGUAACGUAGCUAACGCGUGAAGUUGACCGCCUGGGGGAGUACGGUCGCAAGAUUAAAACUUAAAUGAAUUGACGGGGUCAUAGCUGUUUCCU